UUAAUUGAAACCAAAACUCGAGGUAUACCACUGUUAAUGGUACCACUGGCCCCCCCCCAAUUAAA
rnacentral:tRNA from 1 species